CCUCGGGAUUCAGCAGUGGGGAAUAUUGGACAAUGGGCGAAAGCCUGAUCCAGCCAUGCCGCGUGUGUGAAGAAGGCCUUCGGGUUGUAAAGCACUUUCAGUGGGGAAGAAAGCCUUGGGGCUAAUACCCUCGAGGAAGGACAUCACCCACAGAAGAAGCACCGGCUAACUCCGUGCCAGCAGCCGCGGUAAUACGGAGGGUGCGAGCGUUAAUCGGAAUUACUGGGCGUAAAGCGCGCGUAGGCGGUCUGAUAAGCCGGUUGUGAAAGCCCCGGGCUCAACCUGGGAACGGCAUCCGGAACUGUCAGGCUAGAGUGCAGGAGAGGAAGGUAGAAUUCCCGGUGUAGCGGUGAAAUGCGUAGAGAUCGGGAGGAAUACCAGUGGCGAAGGCGGCCUUCUGGACUGACACUGACGCUGAGGUGCGAAAGCGUGGGUAGCAAACAGGAUUAGAUACCCGGGUAGUC
rnacentral:rRNA from 1 species